rnacentral:rRNA from 1 species
UACGUAGGGAGCAAGCGUUGUCCGGAAUCAUUGGGCGUAAAGCGCGCGUAGGUGGCUUCGUAAGCCCGUUGUGAAAGUCAAAGGCUCAACCUUUGAAAGCCGAUGGAUACUGCGGAGCUAGAGUACGGAAGAGGCGAGUGGAAUUCCUGGUGUAGCGGUGGAAUGCGCAGAUAUCAAGGAGGAACACCAAUAGCGAAGGCAGCUCGCUGGGACGUUACUGACACUGAGGCGCGAAAGCGUGGGGAGCGAACAGG